CACGUAUGGGGCAAGCGUUGUUCGGAAUUACUGGGCGUAAAGGGUGCGCAGGCGGUUCAGCAAGCUUGGUGUUAAAAGCCCCGGCCCAACCGGGGAGCUGCGCUGGGAACUGCUGGGCUGGAGUUCAGGAGAGGAAGCUGGAAUUCCUGGUGUAGGGGUGAAAUCUGUAGAGAUCAGGAAGAACACCGGUGGCGAAGGCGAGCUUCUGGCCAUGGACUGACGCUGAGGCACGAAAGCGUGGGGAGCGAACAGGAUUAGAUACCCGAGUA
rnacentral:rRNA from 1 species